UACGUAGGGGGCAAGCGUUGUCCGGAUUUAUUGGGCGUAAAGCGCGCGCAGGCGGUCUACCAAGUUCGGAGUGACAGUUUCCGGCUUAACCGGAAAAGGUCUUCGAAAACUGGUGGACUUGAGGACUUGAGGGGGAGACGGAAUUCCGGGUGGAGCGGUGAAAUGCGUAGAGAUCCGGAGGAACACCGAAAGCGAAGGCAGUCUCCUGGCAAGUGUCUGACGCUCAGGUGCGAAAGCUAGGGGAGCGAACAGG
rnacentral:rRNA from 1 species